rnacentral:rRNA from 1 species
GACGAACGCUGGCGGCGUGCUUAACACAUGCAAGUCGAACGAAGUGGCGAACGGGUGAGUAACGCGUAAUCAACCUGCCAUUCAGAGGGGGAAAACAGUUGGAAACGACUGCUAAUACCGCAUACUGAAGGCUGGGAUUGCGUCUGAUUAGCUAGUUGGAGGGGUGAAGGCCCACCAAGGCGAUGAACAGUAGCCGGUCUGAUAGGAUGAGCGGCCUCAUUGGGACUGAGACACGGCCCAGACGCGUACGGGAGGCAGCAGUGGGGAAUCUUCCGCAAUGGACGAAAGUCUGACGGAGCAACGCCGCGUGAGGGAUGACGGCCUUCGGGUGGUAAAGCUCUGUUAAUCGGGACGCGGUACCGGAAUAGAAAGCCACGGCUAACUACGUGCCAGCAGCCGCGGUAAUAC